GAGUGAACGCUAGCGGUAGGCCUAACACAUGCAAGUCGAACGGCAGCACAGUAAGAGCUUGCUCUUACGGGUGGCGAGUGGCGGACGGGUGAGGAAUACAUCGGAAUCUACUUUUUCGUGGGGGAUAACGUAGGGAAACUUACGCUAAUACCGCAUACGACCUACGGGUGAAAGCAGGGGAUCUUCGGACCUUGCGCGAUUGAAUGAGCCGAUGUCGGAUUAGCUAGUUGGCGGGGUAAAGGCCCACCAAGGCGACGAUCCGUAGCUGGUCUGAGAGGAUGAUCAGCCACACUGGAACUGAGACACGGUCCAGACUCCUACGGGAGGCAGCAGUGGGGAAUAUUGGACAAUGGGCGCAAGCCUGAUCCAGCCAUACCGCGUGGGUGAAGAAGGCCUUCGGGUUGUAAAGCCCUUUUGUUGGGAAAGAAAAGCAGCAGGUUAAUACCCCGCUGUUCUGACGGUACCCAAAGAAUAAGCACCGGCUAACUUCGUG
rnacentral:rRNA from 1 species